AGUGAACGCUGGCGGUAGGCCUAACACAUGCAAGUCGAACGGCAGCACAGUAAGAGCUUGCUCUUACGGUUGGCGAGUGGCGGACGGGUGAGGAAUACAUCGGCAUCUACUUUUUCGUGGGUGAUAACGUAGGGAAACUUACGCUAAUACCGCAUACGACCUACGGGUGAAAUCAGAGGAUCUUCGGACCUUGCGCGAUUGUAUGAGCCGAUUUCGGAUUAGCUAGUUGGCUGGGUAAAGGCCCACCAAGGCAACGAUCCGUAGCUGAUCUGAGAGGAUGAUCGGCCACACUGGAACUGAGACACGGUCCAGACUCCUACGGGAGGCAGCAGUGGGGAAUAUUGGACAAUGGGCGCAAGCCUGAUCCAGCCAUACCGCGUGGGUGAAGAAGGCCUUCGGGUUGUAAAGCCCUUUUGUUGGGAAAGAAAAGCAGCAGGUUAAUACCCCGCUGUUCUGACGGUACCCAAAGAAUAAGCACCGGCUAACUUCGUG
rnacentral:rRNA from 1 species